rnacentral:rRNA from 1 species
AGCGAACGUAUCACUUAAAGCGAUUCAGCGGGUUACGAUUGACGGAGCGAAGCGACGUCAAAGCGUAUACAAAGUCGAGUCGGUUUAAGGAUACGUUCGUUGGGUAGGGGAGCGUUCUGUAAGCCUGCGAAGGUGGCCUGUGAGGGUUGCUGGAGGUAUCAGAAGUGCGAAUGCUGACAUAAGUAACGAGAAAGCGGGUGAAAAGCCCGCUCGCCGGAAGACCAA